CCUACGGGUGGCAGCAGUGAGGAAUCUUGGUCAAUGGACGAGAGUCUGACCCAGCAACGCAGCGUGAAGGAUGAAUGUUCUAUGGGUUGUAAACUUCUUUUAUAAAGGAAUAAAACGAGGCACGUGUGCCUUUUUGCAUGUACUUUAUGAAUAAGGAUCGGCUCACUCCGUGCCAGCAGCCGCGGUAAUAUGGAGGAUACGAGCGUUAUCCGGAUUUAUUGGGUUUAAAGGGAGCGUAGAUGGGUUGUUAAGUCAGUUGUGAAAGUUUGCGGCUCAACCGUAAAAUUGCAAUUGAUACUGGCAGUCUUGAGUACAGUUGAGGUAAGCGGAAUUCGUGGUGUAGCGGUGAAAUGCGUAGAUAUCACGAAGAACCCCGAUUGCGAAGGCAGCUUACUAAACUGUGACUGACAUUGAGGCUCGAAAGUGUGGGUAUCAAACAGGAUUAGAUACCCGGGUAGUC
rnacentral:rRNA from 1 species